CGGGGCGGGGCGAGGGGCGGCCGUGAGGGGGCGCUGCGGGAGAGCGCGGCGGGCCCGGGCCGUGAGGGAGCGCCGGGCGGGAUGUUACGGGGCUCUAUGGGGUCUCUCUGCAGGUGGAAUGCCUCCUGUCCCUCAAUUGGCUCAGCAGAUCAGCCAGGAGGAAAAACAACAGCAAAAUGGACCAAAUUUGUCAAGUUUGCUUAAUUCCUUACCUGCUGCACACAGCAGGAACCCAGCAGGUACAACCAGCAGGAUGGGAUAAGAACCAAGUGCUUGUGGUCCCAGCUCCAGUUCCCUUACAACAACAGGAAAAUGAAAUUCUGCAGCAAACAGCAUCAUCGAGGAAAGAAAGUUUAUGAUCUCUGAAACCUCUGCCGAAACUCCAUGAGGCUCCACAGUAUAAAUCACACCAUGAUUAUCUUCUGGAAGAAAUGCAGUGGAUGGCAACAGAUUUUUUUUCCAAGAAAGAAAAUGAAAGAUGAUAGCUGUUGAAAGAGUAAUGUGAAUUUGAUCUUUUCAACCAGAAAAUAAUAGGCAGCAUUUUCAUGGUUAGGAUGUGAUCAUUGAGGAUCUGUGAGUUUGGGGUUGCCUCUUCACUGUUUGUAAACUUUAAACAGUACUAAAGGGAUUGUAAUUAUUUUUCUUUCUUUAGGAAUGUGUUUUUUAGAUAAAAUCAAGUAAAAACUUAAAAUAACUUUAUGGUUUUAUUUUAGGGUUAAUGUGUCAAGGUGGGAAUAGAUGAGUCUGGAAUGCCAGUUCUACAAAGACAAAUUAUUUAAUUGUGAGCAAUGAAUUAACUGCAGAGCUUGUCAUUUGAGGGUGCUGCCCUGUCUGUGACUCCUGGUAACAUGAGCAUAAUGCUCUAUUUCCAUGCUGUGGGCUCUUGGAACCUUUUAAAGUAACAGCAGCUGCUCUCUGCAGUGUCACAUGACACGUGGCUCUUCCAGUUCCUCUUUAAUUCUGCCAUCAGCUGGGAGCUUUUUCAUCAUUCUCAGACACUGUGCUAUUAUUGCGAUUUUUAUUUUAACUGCAGUGGAAUAGUAGUAAAAUAUUUCUUUACUUUGUGUGGGUUUUUUUUUCUUUUGCUAUUACUUAAGGACACAGACUGGUCUCUCUCUGAUGUGAUUGGGAUGGAAAACCAAAUUACUUGCUACAAAGCACAAAUGCUGCCAAAACUGAAGGUAAUUGAAAACCUUAUUGAAGAGUUCUCCUACUCCCCUUCAUCACCCAGACUUGAGCCAGAGAAGGUCAAACCAAACAGAACCCCUGUGUAUGGCAGAGACCUGUUGGAAACUUGCUCUUGGAUCAAUGAAAGAAAAAUCUCUCAGCAUUGUUCUGCCAGGAUUAACAAGUGGUGCUGGGCUGGCUUUGCAAAUUGCCUCCCAUACUCCAGCACUUCAGAGGCUCUGAGGAUCCAUUGCAGGAACUCAUUCUGACACUGAAUCAGCAGCAGAUUGCCCUGAAGGAUGUUAUUGCCAGGUAAUUGAGACAAAUUCGUGCGCAGCCUUUGCACAAAUUUGGUGGGUGUGUGCUACCCUCCAAAACAGGGUAUUUAUGUGAAAAACUGUAAAAUGCUAAAUGAUAAAUUGGCUGCCUUGUUUUAUCCUUUUUGCAGGCUACAUUCCUCUAUGCUGAACCUAUUUGCAUCUCAGAUGUAUACUUUUGGAUCAUUCUAGGAUCUGAAACUCUCAAUAGUUCCAUGACAACUGUUAUUAGUUAUAUAACAAUUCUACUUGACUUUGACAUAUCUUGUAUUUGUUGUGCUAAGUUAAUGCUGACAAAAAAAAGAGUAGGAGUUGUAGUAAGCUUCUCUUGGUAACUUUAUGGAUAGUGGUAAUUUCCUCUUCAGUUUUUUUUUUUCACUUACUUGAUGUCAACUUAAAACUACAUGUCCUGAUUUACUUUCUAUUACCUUUAGCCAGGUGCUUUGUGCUUCUUUGCAACAUUACUGGUUUUGAGUGUUUAAUAGCCCGAGCAGUUAAAAAUCAGUAUAAAAAAGUUUUGAUUUGUUUUAUAGAGACCUGUGUGUGUUCCCAGCUGUAGCAGUUGCUCCUCCAUGUUUGUAUGGAGCAAAUCCUUCUUAGGCUUGGAGCCAUGGAAUGAAACUCCUGCAGUUCAGUCUCGAGGAACAGAGAUGGUGCAGCGUGAUUCAGGAAUUCAUAAAAAGCUUCAACCAACACAAGUGAUCCUUCAGUGCUAUCCUGUGUUCCCACACUCCCUCCACAGGUGUCAGUCACACAGAUGUGAUUCCUCUUGUCUUCUCUGACACUGAUUUAGAUCUGUUGAUGGACACAAAGAUGGAGUCGUGUGACAAAAGUGCAAGAGGCAGAGAUACCCACACAUACAGGCUUUUAAGUGGUAAUUCUAUUGAAGAGAGGCUGUUGAAAAAGAGUAUUAAACAUGAUUCAAGAACUGGCUGCUCAGGGAGGGGAUUGUUCAACAGACUUUUUAUCCCAGGCUUGUUUGGGAACCACUGAUGUGUGUUCACAGCUAAAUUCAGUAGAAAUCCUGAACUGUCAGCUCAUAUAGAAAAUCAGAAGGCUGACCUUUACUUAAGGUAAAGUGUCCAAGAAUCAAAUCUGUGCUCGUGCUGAUGUAAAGAAACGCCUGAAGUGCUUCAGUACGGCUCCAUCUGAUGUACCACAAGUCCUUCCUCGUGUCCGGGUGCCCCCUCCUGAGCAUCGGUGUGCGCCCGCUGUGUCCCGUCCUGUAACCUGGCAGCACCGAGCAGCGCCGGCCGUGCCCCGAGCCCCAGCAGGCCCUGACAGACAGGGCUGGGUCCCCUCUCAGCCCUCUGCCCGAGGCUGAGCAGCGCCGGCUCCCUCAGCGCUGCCCCGCUGGGGCUGCUCCAGCCCCUCCAUCACCUCCGUUAGCCCGGCUGGCCCCGCUGCGGGCGCUCCCAGUCCCUGCAAGUGUGGAUUUCCACACCGUCUGUCGGGGAGAAGCGACAGCCCAGCUCGGUGCGCGGUCCCUUUGCUCGCUCCUUCCCCUGCCCUGCCUCCGCCACAAUAAAUACAAUUUCUCUGCGCUGUC